GCCGGGAGCGCGGUGUCCGCCCCGCUGAUGGGGCUGCGGGCGGCACCUUCCCCCGGGGAGGGGACGACGAGGAGGAGGAGAAGGAGGAGAAGGAGAGCCAGUGGCGGAGGUUUUUCAUGACUGUUCUGAUUCCUGUUGCUGCAGCCAGCGUGGAUCCGGAUGCCGUGGCUACAGAGGCUUGCUACUUUCUCAUGCUGGAUCCCUCAAAUCCAAGAGCUACUUGGCAGUUUCCAAGGCAACCACCUGUGGAAUAAUUAAAAAGGAUGAAGUGUUAGCCUGCCAGAUAUAAGGAAUUCUUGCCUGGAGAGAGCAUUUCACUUUCAUCUGCCUUGAAGAAUCAAAUGUGCUUCUGCCAGCAAAGUUAAGAAAAAGGAAAGGUGGCUGAGUUGUACAAGUGAACCAGGACAAUCCAAAACGAAAAAAGUCAAGUACGAAACAGGAACAAGAAGCGCCUCCCUCCCCCCCUGUAGAGGCACCAGGUCUGACUCUUUCUGCAUGCAGAAGCAGGUGACUCAAAGCAGGAGGGAGCAGAUGGCAGCAUCGUUAGCUGGUGGCCAUAGCCUUCCCAGAUGAGUUUUGGAAUUUCCAUCAAAGUCGGGAUUAGGCUCAGGAUAUGCCGGUGGCACAGAGCACGCCGGGGGAGCGUGGAAGAAGAGGAAAUCAUUCAUAGCGACUCAUCUCGUGGUUGGGUGAGUCAGGGGUCUGCUGUUGGUGGUCAGAAAGGCACGUGGCUGACGACACCGUCUUUGUGUGCUCUGCAGGAUGCAAACUGUCUCCAAAAAUUAAUUCUCCCCGCUUGAUUUGUCCAAUGAGUUAUUUCCAGAAAGGAGUUACUGUAUUUUCUGGAAUGACUAUUGUGAAAUUCUUUCUCUGUCCUUUUUUUUUUUUUUUUUUUUUUUAAUACAGUGGGCAAGUGUUCAGCUGGUGAUUUAUCAACAAAGUAUUUUACAGGAUCAUAGUUAAAAGCUCAUCUUAAAAAAAAAAAAAAAUCAUACCCUGUGCAAUAGGGAAAGUAAAAGCAUCUCAGUUUCCAAGUGAUGAAGGAAUAACCGAAAGAGCUAGUUCUUGGAAUAGUAGCUCCAUUGGCACUCGUUGGUGAUUUCCUGUGCAUUUGCUGCAAGAAUCGCUCUGUGAUGUGAGUAGGUGGUACUAAAGGGUUAUUACGAAACCAGUUUCCAACCAGACGUUUUGAGUCAUGGAUGGGGAACAGGGAUAGCAGCUUCGGAGCUCUCUCUUUGUUCAGGCAGUGCUCCUGAAAUGCACACGCAGGAUAAUCUGUGCUUGCACGGAACAAGGCAGACCGGGGAUAGGUCUGGGAUCACGUGGAGUGCACUCCUUCAUGCCUCUCCAUCCCAGGGAUGGGAAAUGGGAAACGUGGGCUGCGAGCCGGCGGCGGCGUGCAAGGUGCACACGGAGCAGUUUCCCGACUUGUCUUUCAAUUGUAAGUAUUUCUCAUGGCUUUUCCCAGACGUGGGAGACAAAAUGGAGUUGCGUCAGGACGGAUGCCUGUGCCAAAAUGAGGUGGUGGUUUGGAGUGCCUUGGUUCUGUUCUGGAAGCAGAUGGGCUGCCAGUGGCAGGAGACAGUUGGCUUCUCCAUCAGGAAAAAAAAAAAAAAAGAAAAAGGGGUGUUUAAAGGAAUUGGUCUGGCUCCUAAACCGAAGGAAUUGUUGACCCACUGACUCAGUUCUGAAGCAUUAGGGAAGCAGUCUUCCUGUGGUUUCUUUUGUUGGUGGCAGAUUCAGAGCCCGGCUGUGAGCGUUCGGGUGUGAGGAGCAGAGGAGAGACAGUUCUGGUACCUGCUGCUGUGGGAUUUAUUUGGUGCUGGGGAGGAGCUGAGGUGCUGACGGCUUGAGCAACACCUGAACUUUAUUUCUGAUGUUUCUCCCAGUAAUGCAUUGGUACUGAUCUCACAAAGGUGUCCUGCAUAUGCCAAAGGACGAACAUGUUGUUUGAGGGAAAAGCUGUUCAUAAAUCUGUGCAAACUGAAAGAUUCUGAAGACAAACCUGUCAGUAGCGAAUUGUCCCAGAAGCACAUGGAGAAAGUUGUACAUGGUGGAGGCUGUUUUUUCUGAGGUACAGAACAUCUGUGUCCUUCCUUGGUAUCAGCUGUUGUAAAUACCUUGUGGCCAUUAAGCCUUUAUUGCUCGAAGCUUUGAGAAGCUUUGAAAUUAAAAAGAUUAAAGGUAUUGUGUGUGCAUAAUGGAUAAAUUGAAUGUUUCACUAGUGGGAAAUAACUGUCUUUAUUUGAGAGCUGUGUCCCUGUUCCAGAGGGAUGUUCCCCAGAUCUCUUACUUCGUAGUUCUUCUCAGUGCAGCUAAACAAAGCACAGGAAGGAAUGGGAAGUACUCUCAUCAGUGUAGGAAAUCUUUUCAGUAAUGGUUUUUCAUGUCAAUAAUUUCCUCACAAAUGCUUUUUUGUUCUUACCUGUUUAUAUCAAGCCACUGCAGACCUUCUGAUCAUAUUAAAUUCCAUUAGUGGAGGCUUUGAUUGUUUCUUGCACACUGCCCAUUUAACGUAAGAAAACAAAAUUGUUCGGUAAGAAAAAUUCAAAUGGAAAAAUUCAGGCCUGUGGGGGAAGUUGGACCUUGUGCAAAAACCCAGUAAAACUUGAGUAAGAACCUCAGAGUUCAGUGUAUUGAUUUUCUUGUGAAAGUUCAAGAGCUGUGUUUCGUUGCAGGCUGAAACUCAUCUCAACUCCUCAUGACCAGCUGAGCAAGAGAGAUGGGAUUUGAUGCUAUCCAAGGUGUAAUUCCACAGUUCAUGUCUUUUGCUACUGCCAGCUUAAUAAGUUUCUGCCCACUCCCAGCCAUUCAUUUCCAGCCCAGCAGCAAUGCAGUGCCAUCUCUUCCCUGACCGCGCGGAAAACCAGAUGGCUGAAAAUAACUCAGUCAAGAAAAGAAA